AAAGACUUUUGAAUGACUUCUUUAGCUCUGUCCAUAGCUUCAUAUAUAUAUAUCCCAUAGCUGGCUUUUUCUCAUUAUCAGCAAGUCGAAGGACUCGAAUCACUAUUAAAGUAUAAAGUACAAUAUUACAAAAUGAUGGCAUCAAUACAAUCUCAUUUGCUCUUUUUCCCUUUGCUUUCUUAGCCUACUUACUUUUCACUCACUUCUUUGAUGUGAACAUGUUCCUAAUAUUGUGCUUUUGAGAGUGAAUUCUUUGUAGUUUCAAAAAUGUACUUGUAAAUCUAGUGAUACCUGCUUAACCAAUUCCCUUUUAUUGUGAAUUCCCUCAUCAUGUUCAAUGCACUGGUGUGGUUGUAAAGAAAUCCAAUUAUGGAAAUUGCUAUUUCCAAAGUUCUCUUCACUUGAGCAAUGUUUCCAAUAUCUUCUAACAUGAGGUCCACGCAAUUUGCUGCGCAUAGAGUCCAAUACAAGUGUCUCCUUUUUGCUUGUAACAACUUACCUAAUUAAAAAAAAUAAAAUAAAUAAAAGAAACACAUACACAAUUGUCAUGUAUUUAUUCUAAAAGUGUCUUGUACUAUCAUUAAGAAUAUAAAAAUUAAAAAUUAUAUAAAAGAAAAGCUAGUAAUAGUUACUUACUAGCUAACUUGUAGUUGCUUCCAUUGCCAUUUAUCACUUGAACAACAUUUGCCUCUCCAAUCCACUCUACAAAACUAUCAAGCAACUCAAAAGUCUUCUUUCCCGUUUUCACAAAAGAGGAUGCAUCAAUAGACUCCACAAACUUUGUUUCCAACGGACAAUUGACGAAGAAAUUUAUCAAAGUUCUCUCUCUCUUGUCUUUCCAUCCAUCAGACAUAAUAGAACAACCAUGCUUUGCCCAU
rnacentral:misc_RNA from 1 species